rnacentral:miRNA from 4 species
UCCUUAACUCAUGCCGCUGUGC